rnacentral:rRNA from 1 species
GACGAACGCUGGCGGCGUGCCUAAUACAUGCAAGUCGAGCGGACUGAAUGGGAGCUUGCUCUUGUUCGGUCAGCGGCGGACGGGUGAGUAACACGUGGGCAACCUGCCCGCAAGACCGGGAUAACUCCGGGAAACCGGAGCUAAUACCGGAUAACACCGAAGACCGCAUGGUCUUUGGUUGAAAGGCGGCGCAAGCUGCCACUUGCGGAUGGGCCCGCGGCGCAUUAGCUAGUUGGUGAGGGAACGGCUCACCAAGGCGACGAUGCGUAGCCGGCCUGAGAGGGUGACCGGCCACACUGGGACUGAGACACGGCCCAGACUCCUACGGGAGGCAGCAGUAGGGAAUCUUCCGCAAUGGGCGAAAGCCUGACGGAGCGACGCCGCGUGAGCGAAGAAGGCCUUCGGGUCGUAAAGCUCUGUUGUGAGGGACGAAGGAGCGCCGUUUGAAGAAGGCGGCGCGGUGACGGUACCUCACGAGGAAGCCCCGGCUAACUACGUG